CCUGAGAAACGGAUACCAUAUCCAAGGAAGGCAGCAGGCGCGCAUUAUUACCCAAGUCCCGACACGGGGAGGUAGUGACAAUAAUAUAACAAUAUAGGGCUCUUUUGGGUCUUAUAAUUGGUAGUGAGUACAUUUAAUAUCCCUUAGCGAGGAACAAAUUGGAGGGCAAUGUCUGGUGCCAGCAGCGCGCGGUAAUUCCAGCUCCAAUAGCGUAUAUUAAAGGUUGUUGCAGUUAAAAAGCUCGUAGUUGAACUUCAGGCCUG
rnacentral:rRNA from 1 species